CCUACGGGCGGCAGCAGUGGGGAAUAUUGCACAAUGGGGGGAACCCUGAUGCAGCGACGCCGCGUGAGCGAAGAAGGCUUUCGAGUCGUAAAGCUCUGUCCUAUGAGAAGAUAAUGACGGUAUCAUAGGAGGAAGCCCCGGCUAAAUACGUGCCAGCAGCCGCGGUAAUACGUAUGGGGCGAGCGUUGUCCGGAAUGAUUGGGCGUAAAGGGUACGUAGGCGGUUUUUUAAGUCAGGUGUGAAAGCGUGAGGCUUAACCUCAUUAAGCACUUGAAAUUGGAAGACUUGAGUGAAGGAGAGGAAAGUGGAAUUCCUAGUGUAGCGGUGAAAUGCGUAGAUAUUAGGAGGAAUACCGGUGGCGAAGGCGACUUUCUGGACUUUUACUGACGCUCAGGUACGAAAGCGUGGGGAGCAAACAGGAUUAGAUACCCUGGUAGUC
rnacentral:rRNA from 1 species